CCUCACCUGCAGAGAGGAAAAACAAAACAAGCGCUGGCCCUCAGACUUCAUUUGGGACAAGCAGUAACCAACUGCCGUCUGGUGAAACUGGAACAGCUAGGCAAGAUGUCACGGGCUCUUUCCUCCACCCCACAAGUCCAAACACACAUCAAGGUAUAUGACAUUGCAAUGAGAUAAAAAGAGAACCAACCCCAAAAGACACUGGUGAGCUCUGUGCCUACUACCCUCCAUCCCCACGGCAGCAGUAACCCACCAGUGCCCACCUUGAAAGCUCUGAGCACUGCCAGGGGGUCAUCAUUGGUGAGGCGAUGCACGAGCGAGGGCCAGGUCAUUCUGGCUGCCGAGUGGAGAAGGGACUUGGAGCAGAAGAGAGAAGUGAGGAGGCCCUUUAGGAAGUCAUGGCACAUGUCCGCGUGAGAGGCAAGAGAUGCGGCCCCAUGACGGUGGCAGAGGCAGAGAAGAGAAAGGGUUUAUCUGUUUUGGAGAUGAAGUGGCUUACCUUGCGGAAAGACUCGAUACUGGGGAGCUGAAGAGCUAGCACAAAGGGCUGCCUGGGUUCAGGCUUAGCGACAGCCGAAUAGAUGCAGGUGCUGCCUAAUGAGACAGGAACAAAGGAGGAGGAGCAAAUCGAGGGGUAGGGAGAGUUCAAGCUCCGUUACGACUCCAGGGAGAAGUCAAGUAGGCAGCUGAGACCCACGUCAGCCUCAGAAGAAAGGUUUGGAGUAGCCUAGAUGGAAAUUGGAGUUUUCACCUUCCCUGAGAAGAUGUUUACUAAUCUCUCGUAUCUCAAAGCUCACUGAAAACAGGUGGCUGCUCCAGUGGCAUAAGCAGUGGUCACACGACGACCAGUGCGGGUUUCCCUCCUGCACAGAUGGGCCAGCCUUCGCGAAGCAGGCGAGGGUGCAUGUCUGAGUCAGAAAGACAGAGUGAAGGCCAACAUGAAGCAGUAAACAUCCUUACUGUGGCCACUCUGAGCUGGUCGCACUGAGACUGGAACAGAAACAAAGAACAGAAGAAGCCCUGCCUUCGAGGACUGAACAGUUAGGCAGGCGAAUGAGAGACACCUCAGUAUACAGCAGCGAGGAGAGGAGUACCGUGCAAAUGGCUUUGGUAUCACUGGCUGGCUUUGAAUUGGAGUUGUCACUCAUUGGGCAAGUUACGUCUUACGUCAUUGAUUCAAAGACAUAUUUUCCCCCUCUGCCUGGAAUGUUCUUCUCUUAGCCUUUAUCCCUUUGUAUUGCUGGCUCCUUCUCAACCUUCUAAGUCUCAGCUUAAAUAUUCCCACCUCAGAGGCCUUCCUGAUGACCUGGUCUAAACCAGAACGUAAGCUCUGUCUCAUUCCACAGGGUUUGGUAGAGUAGGUUCCCAAUACAUGGUUACAACACGGCUCAAUUACUAGUUUCUAUCAUGGAACCUGCCUAUUAACGUCAGAGCGUCUCCUCAAUGUGUAAGUGUGUGUUUGUGUAUCGCCUCUUUCUCCACGAGAGACAGGAAGUUUCAUGAACACACGGAUCACAUCUGCUUCAUUUCCUUCUAUAUACCCUCUGCCCGACCUGUAUCAAUCCUCAAUAAACGU